AACGAACGCUGGCGGCAUGCCUAACACAUGCAAGUCGAACGAGACCUUCGGGUCUAGUGGCGCACGGGUGCGUAACGCGUGGGAACCUGCCCUUAGGUUCGGAAUAACUCCCCGAAAGGGGUGCUAAUACCGGAUAAUGUCUUCGGACCAAAGAUUUAUCGCCUUUGGAUGGGCCCGCGUUGGAUUAGCUAGUUGGUAGGGUAAAAGCCUACCAAGGCGACGAUCCAUAGCUGGUCUGAGAGGAUGAUCAGCCACACUGGGACUGAGACACGGCCCAGACUCCUACGGGAGGCAGCAGUGGGGAAUAUAGGACAAUGGGCGAAAGCCUGAACCAGCAAGGCCGCGUGAGUGAUGUAGGCCUUAGGGUUGGAAAGCUCUUUUACCCGGGAUGAUAAUGACAGUACCGGGAGAAUAAGCUCCGGCUAACUCCGUG
rnacentral:rRNA from 1 species